ACUGGGCAUGGUGGUGCAUGCCUGUAGUCCCAGCUACUCAGGAGGCUGAGGCAGGAGGAUCGCUUGAGCCCAGGAGGCAGAGGCUGCAGUGAGCUGAGAUUGCCACCACUGCACUCCAGCCUGGGCAACAUAGGGAGAUCCUGUCUCAA
rnacentral:SRP_RNA from 1 species